GAUGAACGCUGGCGGCGUGCCUAAUACAUGCAAGUCGAGCGAACAGACGAGGAGCUUGCUCCUCUGACGUUAGCGGCGGACGGGUGAGUAACACGUGGAUAACCUACCUAUAAGACUGGGAUCACUUCGGGAAACCGGAGCUAAUACCGGAUAAUAUAUUGAACCGCAUGGUUCAAUAGUGAAAGACGGUUUUGCUGUCACUUAUAGAUGGAUCCGCGCCGCAUUAGCUAGUUGGUAAGGUAACGGCUUACCAAGGCGACGAUGCGUAGCCGACCUGAGAGGGUGAUCGGCCACACUGGAACUGAAACACGGUCCAGACUCCUACGGGAGGCAGCAGUAGGGAAUCGUCCGCAAUGGGCGAAAGCCUGACGGAGCAACGCCGCGUGAGUGAUGAAGGUCUUCGGAUCGUAAAACUCUGUUAUUAGGGAAGAACAAAUGUGUAAGUAACUAUGCACGUCUUGACGGUACCUAAUCAGAAAGCCACGGCUAACUACGUG
rnacentral:rRNA from 1 species